rnacentral:sRNA from 1 species
GUAAGUAGACAAAUCUGAAC